rfam:Aedes albopictus isolate Foshan contig52430, whole genome shotgun sequence.
UAGCCUAGUGGUUAAGGCUAUGGACCGCCAAUCCGGAGACGGCGGGUUCGAUUCCCGU